UCCAGACUCCUACGGGAGGCAGCAGUGGGGAAUAUUGCACAAUGGGGGAAACCCUGAUGCAGCAACGCCGCGUGAGUGAAGAAGUAUUUCGGUAUGUAAAGCUCUAUCAGCAGGGAAGAAAAUGACGGUACCCGAGUAAGAAGCCCCGGCUAACUACGUGCCAGCAGCCGCGGUAAUACGUAGGGGGCAAGCGUUAUCCGGAUUUACUGGGUGUAAAGGGAGCGUAGACGGCGAUGCAAGUCUGAAGUGAAAGCCCGGGGCUCAACCCCGGGACUGCUUUGGAAACUGUAUGGCUGGAGUACUGGAGAGGCAAGCGGAAUUCCUAGUGUAGCGGUGAAAUGCGUAGAUAUUAGGAGGAACACCAGUGGCGAAGGCGGCUUACUGGACGGCAACUGACGCUGAGGCUCGAAAGCGUGGGGAGCAAACAGGAUUAGAUACCCGAGUAU
rnacentral:rRNA from 1 species